rnacentral:misc_RNA from 1 species
AGCGUGGGCGUGACAGCUGC